rnacentral:rRNA from 1 species
GAUGAACGCUAGCGGCAGGCCUAACACAUGCAAGUCGAGAGAGAGGUUACCUUCGGGUAACCAAAACCGGCGCACGGGUGCGUAACGCGUAUACAAUCUGCCUUUCACAUAGGGAUAGCCCGAAGAAAUUUGGAUUAAUACCUAAUGGUAUAUAAGAGCGGCAUCGUUUUUAUAUUAAAGCUACGGUGGUGAAAGAUGAGUAUGCGUUCUAUUAGCUAGUUGGAGAGGUAACGGCUCCCCAAGGCGACGAUAGAUAGGGGUUCUGAGAGGGAUGUCCCCCACACUGGUACUGAGAUACGGACCAGACUCCUACGGGAGGCAGCAGUGAGGAAUAUUGGACAAUGGUCGGAAGACUGAUCCAGCCAUGCCGCGUGCAGGAUGAAGGUCCUAUGGAUUGUAAACUGCUUUUGUAAGGGAAGAAUAAGGAGUACGUGUACUUUGAUGACGGUACCUUACGAAUAAGCAUCGGCUAACUCCGUGCCAGCAGCCGCGGUAAUACGGAGGAUGCGAGCGUUAUCCGGAAUCAUUGGGUUUAAAGGGUCCGUAGGCGGGCUGAUAAGUCAGAGGUGAAAGCGCUUAGCUCAACUAAGCAACUGCCUUUGAAACUGUCAGUCUUGAAUGAUUGUGAAGUAGUUGGAAUGUGUAGUGUAGCGGUGAAAUGCUUAGAUAUUACACAGAACACCGAUAGCGAAGGCAUAUUACUAACAAUUUAUUGACGCUGAUGGACGAAAGCGUGGGGAGCGAACAGG